GCGACGGCCAAUGCAUAUGGACGGUCAAAAAAGUGGAGGAUUGGGUCUGCACUGAAUGACAUGGCAUAGUGAGAUUCUCAUUCCUCCAUUUAGCUGCCUGUUCUUAUUGCUGUCAUAUGGCCA
rnacentral:precursor_RNA from 9 species